rnacentral:rRNA from 1 species
UCCGUAGGCGGUGUGGCAAGUCGGAAGUGAAAUCUCUGGGCUUAACCCAGAGGCUGCUUCCGAAACUGCCGUGCUAGAGUGUGAGAGAGGCGAGGUGGAAUUGCGGGUGUAGCGGUGAAAUGCGUAGAUAUCCGCAGGAACAUCCGAGGCGAAAGCGGCUCGCUGGAUCACAACUGACGCUGAGGGACGAAAGCUAGGGGAGCAAACAGGAUUAGAUACCCUGGUAGUCCUAGCCCUAAACCAUCAGGACUUGGGUUUGCCCUGUACGGGCAAGUCCCGUAGCUAACGCGUUAAGUCCUGCGCCUGGGAGUACGGUCGCAAGGCUGAA